AUAGGAUUUUUAGCUCUUCUCUUUCUCUCUCUAGGAUUUGGAGCUCAAGAGAGCUUGGUUUGGUAGUUUCGGCUUCUUCGACUUCUUCUCCUUGCGCCGGCAGGUUGGGAGGCUGUAGCAGUGUUCUCUUGCUGCGAGGGAACAGUAGUGAAGGUGUUCCUGCAACCCAAAUCAGUUAGUAACUGAUUUGCUUCAAGCUUGAGAGGGGUUAACUAGCUGUGAAUUAACCACCUUGGACCAGAGAUAAGCUGCUUUAAAGCUAGUUAAAGGUUUGCGAACCACGUUGAGCUAAUCUCGUGACCUAGGGGACUAGUUUGGAAGGUGGUUAAACUAAAGCGAGAUUGCAAUCGAGCCUCGGAUCAUCUUCAGUUGGCAUUGGAGAGCAAUUGGAGGCUUAAUUUGAGCAGGAUUGGGGCUUUGUUGAGCUGAUUAUUGGGACUUCUUGUGACUAUUUGGAGCCUAGUACUAGAGCUAUCUACAGGAGAGGCUAGGGAUCAUGGCAAGGG